AGUGAACGCUGGCGGUAGGCCUAACACAUGCAAGUCGAACGGCAGCACAGUAAGGGCUUGCUCUUACGGGUGGCGAGUGGCGGACGGGUGAGGAAUACAUCGGAAUCUACUUUUUCGUGGGGGAUAACGUAGGGAAACUUACGCUAAUACCGCAUACGACCUACGGGUGAAAGCAGGGGAUCUUCGGACCUUGCGCGAUUGAAUGAGCCGAUGUCGGAUUAGCUAGUUGGCGGGGUAAAGGCCCACCAAGGCGACGAUCCGUAGCUGGUCUGAGAGGAUGAUCAGCCACACUGGAACUGAGACACGGUCCAGACUCCUACGGGAGGCAGCAGUGGGGAAUAUUGGACAAUGGGCGCAGGCCUGAUCCAGCCAUACCACGUGGGUGAAGAAGGCCUUCGGGUUGUAAAGCCCUUUUGUUGGGAAAGAAAAGCAGCAGGUUAAUACCCCGCUGUUCUGACGGUACCCAAAGAAUAAGCACCGGCUAACUUCGU
rnacentral:rRNA from 1 species